rnacentral:rRNA from 1 species
UACGUAGGGUGCAAGCGUUGUCCGGAAUUAUUGGGCGUAAAGAGCUCGUAGGCGGUUCGUCGCGUCGGCUGUGAAAUCCCGGAGCUCAACUCCGGGUCUGCAGUCGAUAUGGGCGGACUCGAGUUCGGCAGGGGAGACUGGAAUUCCUGGUGUAGCGGUGAAAUGCGCAGAUAUCAGGAGGAACACCGAUGGCGAAGGCAGGUCUCUGGGCCGAUACUGACGCUGAGGAGCGAAAGCGUGGGGAGCGAACAGG